rnacentral:rRNA from 1 species
AUUGAACGCUGGCGGCAGGCCUAACACAUGCAAGUCGAGCGGUAGAGAGGAGCUUGCUUCUCUUGAGAGCGGCGGACGGGUGAGUAAUGCCUAGGAAUCCGCCUGGUAGUGGGGGAUAAUGUUCGGAAACGGACGCUAAUACCGCAUACGUCCUACGGGAGAAAGUGGGGGAUCUUCGGACCUCACGCUAUCAGAUGAGCCUAGGUCGGAUUAGCUAGUUGGUGAGGUAAAGGCUCACCAAGGCGACGAUCCGUAACUGGUCUGAGAGGAUGAUCAGUCACACUGGAACUGAGACACGGUCCAGACUCCUACGGGAGGCAGCAGUGGGGAAUAUUGGACAAUGGGCGCAAGCCUGAUCCAGCCAUGCCGCGUGUGUGAAGAAGGUCUUCGGAUUGUAAAGCACUUUAAGUUGGGAGGAAGGUCAGUAGCUUAAUACGUUGCUGAUUUGACGUUACCGACAGAAUAAGCACCGGCUAACUCUGUGCCAGCAGCCGCAGUAAUAC